rnacentral:rRNA from 1 species
CAAGUCGAGCGGGGUAGCAAUACCUAGCGGCGAACGGUCGCGUAACACGUAAGUAACCUGCCCCGAAGACCGGGCACAACAGUGGGAAACCGCUGCUAAUACCGGAUGUGCCCACCCUGUCGCAUGACCGGGGUGAGUAAAUCGCGCAAUCGGCUUCGGGAGGGACUUGCGGCCUAUCAGCUAGAUGGCGGGGUAGUGGCCCACCAUGGCGACGACGGGUAGCUGGUCUGAGAGGAUGGUCAGCCGGACUGGGACUGAGAUACGGCCCAGACUCCUACGGGGGGCAGCAAUUAGGAAUCUUGCGCAAUGGGCGAAAGCCUGACGCAGCGACGCCGCGUGGGGGAGGAAGGCCUUCGGGUUGUAAACCCCUUUUUCGAGGGAAGAAAAAAAUGACGGUACCUCGGGAAUAAGCCCCGGCUAACUCCGUGCCAGCAGCCGCGGUAAUACGGAGGGGGCGAGCGUUGUCCGAAGUUACUGGGCGUAAAGCGCGUGUAGGCGGGUUGUCAAGUCCGCUGUGAAAGCCCGAGGCUCAACCUCGGAGGGUCGGUGGAUACUGACAGUCUUGAAGGUGCUAGGGGGAGAUGGAAUUACCGGUGUAGCGGUGAAAUGCGUAGAGAUCGGUAGGAACACCAGUGGCGAAGGCGGUCUCCUGGGGCAUUCUUGACGCUGAGACGCGAAAGCUGGGGGAGCGAACGGGAUUAGAUACCCCGGUAGUCCCAGCCCUAAACGAUGGAUACUAGGUGUCGGGGGUAUCGACCCCCCCGGUGCCGCCGCUAACGCAGUAAGUAUCCCGCCUGGGGAGUACGGCCGCAAGGUUGAAACUCAAAGGAAUUGACGGGGGCCCGCACAAGCGGUGGAGCAUGUGGUUUAAUACGUUACUAGCGUAGAACCUUACCAGG